CCUACGGGAGGCAGCAGUGGGGAAUAUUGGACAAUGGGGGGAACCCUGAUCCAGCGACGCCGCGUGAGUGAAGAAGUAUUUCGGUAUGUAAAGCUCUAUCAGCAGGGAAGAAAGAAAUGACGGUACCUGACUAAGAAGCCCCGGCUAACUACGGGCCAGCAGCCGCGGUAAUACGUAGGGGGCAAGCGUUAUCCGGAUUUACUGGGUGUAAAGGGAGCGUAGGUGGCGGUGCAAGUCGUAAGGGAAAGGCGGGGGCCCAACCCCUGGACUGCUUUGGAAACUGUAUGGCUGGAGUGCAGGGGAGGUAAGUGGAAUUCCUAGUGUAGCGGUGAAAUGCGUAGAUAUUAGGAGGAACACCAGUGGCGAAGGCGGCUUACUGGACUGUAACUGACGUUGAGGCUCGAAAGCGUGGGGAGCAAACAGGAUUAGAUACCCCAGUAGUC
rnacentral:rRNA from 1 species